rnacentral:rRNA from 1 species
UACGUAGGGUGCGAGCGUUGUCCGGAAUUACUGGGCGUAAAGAGCUCGUAGGUGGUUUGUCGCGUUGUUCGUGAAAUCUCACGGCUUAACUGUGAGCGUGCGGGCGAUACGGGCAGACUAGAGUACUGCAGGGGAGACUGGAAUUCCUGGUGUAGCGGUGGAAUGCGCAGAUAUCAGGAGGAACACCGGUGGCGAAGGCGGGUCUCUGGGCAGUAACUGACGCUGAGGAGCGAAAGCGUGGGGAGCGAACAGGAUUAGAUACCCUGGUAGUCCACGCCGUAAACGGUGGGUACUAGGUGUGGGUUUCCUUCCCUUGGGAUCCGUGCCGUAGCUAACGCAUUAAGUACCCCGCCUGGGGAGUACGGCCGCAAGGCUAAAACUC